UACGUAGGGUGCGAGCGUUAAUCGGAAUUACUGGGCGUAAAGCGUGCGCAGGCGGUUCGACAAGUCUGAUGUGAAAGCCCCGGGCUCAACCUGGGAAUGGCAUUGGAAACUGGCGAGCUAGAGUGUGGCAGAGGGGGGUGGAAUUCCGCGUGUAGCAGUGAAAUGCGUAGAGAUGUGGAGGAACACCAGUGGCGAAGGCGGCUCACUGGUCCGGUACUGACGCUGAGGUGCGAAAGCGUGGGGAGCAAACAGG
rnacentral:rRNA from 1 species